CGAAUAUUUGAAUAUCUAUUCGUGAUGAAACUGUUUAAAUUUGGAAUUAUUCUUUUUGCAGGAGCUUGGAGUAUAUUGUAUAGAAUUCAUGCCAUGUAAUGAGUUCAAUGAGUUGGAAUACUACAGUUAUAAUGUUGUACAAGGGGACUAUAGGCUGAUGGACUUGAAGUUGAUGAAAGGGUCCUUGCAGCAACAAUAGUUAUUCUAAUAUUUUCCAAUGUUCAAGUGGCUCUCUUUUUUGCCAUUAGUGUAAGCUAUGCAGGAGUGAUACUGCAUGCUGCAUUUCGGUUGGUCGGAGGUGGAUAGUCGGUUAAUUAAAGAAACAAUGACCCACUUGCUUUUAGGAGAUUCAAAUUGCUCUGAUAAUGAAGAAGGGGACAUGAAAUUAAUACAGAAGAUAGCACUGAG